CAUCGUUUUAUGAUUUAUUAUUUAAGAUUUGACCUGCCCAAUGAAAUUUAAAUGGCCGCGGUAUUUUGACCGUGCAAAGGUAGCAUAAUCAUUAGUUUCUUAAUUAGAAGCUGGAAUGAAUGGUUGGACGAGAAAAUGACUGUCUUUAUAUAAAAAAUUAUAAUUUUAUUUUUGAGUUAAAAAGCUUAAAUUUUUAUGAAAGACGAGAAGACCCUAUAGAGUUUUAUUUAUUUAUUUUUAUUAUUUAAUUAGUUAAUUAAAUUAUUUAUUUGUGAAUGAGUUUGAUUGGGGUGAUUGGAGGAUUAAAUUAACUCUUUUUAAAGUUUAUUAUUGAUGUAUAUAUUUUUGAUCCAUUAUUUUUGAUUAAAAGAUUAAAUUACCUUAGGGAUAACAGCGUAAUUUUUAUGGAGAGUUCUUAUCGAUAUAAAAGUUUGCGACCUCGAUGUUGGAUUAAAAUUAAUUUUUGGUGGAGAAGCUAAAUAAUUAAGUCUGUUCGACUUUUAAAAUUUUACAUGAUCUGAGU
rnacentral:rRNA from 1 species